CGCCUGUUUAACAAAAACAUUUCUUUACAGAAUUAUGUAAGGUAGGCCCUGUUCAAUGAGAGUUAAAUAGCCGCAGUAUUUUAUUGUGCGAAGGUAGCAUAAUAAUUUUUUCUUUAAUUGGGAGGUAGAAUGAAUGGGUUGACAAAAUAUUUAUUGUGCUAGUGCUUGAGUAGAAUUUUAUAAGGAGAUUAAAAUGUCUUCUUAAUUUAAAGGGACGACAAGACCCUGGAAACUUAUGAAUUUAUUUAUUUGACUGGGGCGGUUAAUAAUAUAAACAUUAUUGUAUUUUACAUUUAUAUGGAUUUUUUGAGCUUAAAUUGAGCAAGUAGGCAAGUUACUCCAGGGAUAACAGCGUAAUUAGGUUAGAGAGUUCAUAUCUAAGACUUAGUUGCGACCUCGAUGUUGAAUUAAAUAAACAUUUCGAAGCAGAAGGUGGAAAGGUGAGUUUGUUCAACUCUUAAAUAUUUACAUGAUCUGAGUUCAGACCGG
rnacentral:rRNA from 1 species